UGAAAUAUACAAAGCAAUUUCCAUUUCACAUGGAUAAGUCCAUAUACAACUUGAUCUUGUUGACUAAAUGUGGCCAUGUACAUAGAAAUUAAAGUAAGUAGGAUUCGUUAGAAGUUGAACACAAAAAAUCUAAUAUUUAUCCCUAAGUUUUCCUGCCUUCCAAAACUUUUGUGUGUAUGUCCACUAACAAAUUUUUUGUGUACUUGUCCAUAUAACUUGUUUUUGAGGUGGAUGAGAUAAAGCAUGUGGCAGAGGAUUUAGAACAGCCGAAAAAAGUUGAAUAGCUCAAAAACCAGUGAUUUUGAAGCAGAUAAUUUACAAGAAUUGGAAAGACAGCUACUAAAAAGAACAAAAAGGAAGACACUUUCUCUCUCUCACCCAAAACAAAUCAACAAGUGAUACUCAUGCUUAGAAAAACCUGACAAUCUAUAGAAAUUAUAUUAAAAAAAAAAAGACUUUCUUCACUUGAAAUCUUUGCAGCUUCAAAAUUCUUCUCCAAGUUUGGAUUAGACAGAAGCUUGGGUAAGAGAGAAAAAAGAGAAAGGAGAGAGGGGAGAGAGAGAUCUGAUUUACGGAGAGAAAGAGAGAAGGAGAGAACAUGUCUCAUUUUUUUCCAUUUGUUUUUCU
rnacentral:lncRNA from 1 species